rnacentral:tRNA from 1 species
GUGCUUGUGAUGUAAAGGAUAACAUGAUGGUCUACGAAACCAUUCAUAUUGGUUCGAUUCCAGUCAAGCACG